UUGGAGGGCAAGUCUGGUGCCAGCAGCCGCGGUAAUUCCAGCUCCAAUAGCGUAUAUUAAAGUUGUUGCAGUUAAAAAGCUCGUAGUUGAAUUUCGGGAUUGACGUGACGGUCGUGCCUUACGGGGUAUGAACUGUCGCCGUUGAUUUCUCACCUUCUGGAGAAGCUCGAUGUCCUUAAUUGGGUGUCUUGCGGAACCAGGACCUUUACCUUGAAAAAAUUAGAGUGUUUAAAGCAGGCAUUAUUGCUCGAAUACAUUAGCAUGGAAUAAUAG
rnacentral:rRNA from 1 species